GGUCACUUCUCCUCUGUCUGCCUCAGCUUGAAGGCCCCACUGGGAGAGGCCCUGGCCCCGGUCCCCGGCUCCCGGCAAGCCCCCCCGUGCUUCUGUCCAGAGUCCUGUUGCCUUCGACCACCUAUAACCACAGGACUGGAGGUUCCCUUGUUCCUUCUGCCUCGCCCACUAGAAACAAGUCCCCUGAGUGCAGGGUCCUCGUCCGUCCCGCUCACCACGUGUCCCAGCAAUGAGCUGAGUGCCCGGCCAACACUCAGCAUUCGGGGAUCGAUCCACGAAUGCACCACGCACCUGGCCCUGCUGGCUUACGGAGGGCGGGCUGACCAGCCCUCCCAGGACUGCCCAUCCCUCUGAAGGCCGUCCUUCCAGUGUGGCGCGGUGGGCUUCUGUCUGUCCUUUGCCACACUGUGGUGCUCUCAGUCCUGCUGAGGACAGCCAGGGAUGCGGACAAAGGGGAUGAGAUGUCAGGAGGGAGCCGGGAGAGGAGGAAGCAGCCGGUGCCAUCUCAGGCGGGUCCCAGCCCUGCCCCACCCCACAGGAGCGCGCCUGAGGUCCGGCUCUGAGGCUAUCCUGGGCCAGGGCGUGGCCGUCAGCUUUCGCCCUCCACAGCAGCGUGACCCUGUGCGUGCAGGAGCCCAAGGGUCUGCCUGCCCUUACGGUGGGCACCACGCAGUAGUGGGCUCGGGGCAUGUGGCUGCUGCCUCCUCCCCCCAGACACCUGCCUCCUCCCUCUGAGGCCCCCCCCCAGGUCCACCAGCCGAGCGCCUAGCGCCUGCCCUGGGUCUGGGGCCAGGCGGGGCUGGAGGCGCUGCUGCGCCACUGGCUGUUCCCACACCUGGACACCCAUGUGCAGGAGCUGGGGGCCACUCGAGGGGCCUUCAGAGCUGUGCACGCCCAGUGUGGCCACGCAGCAAUGCAGGCCUCCCCGGAGAAGGCCGGUGGACACUGGCCAGGCUAAGUCCGCAGGAUUCUGGUUCCCAGAAAUUUGGAAAUGACUCUGGGAGGGGGAGGGGCAGGAGGCCCUAAUGCUCUCCCAGGGCUUCGUUUCUGACCCCUGAACUCAUUAUUUCUAAGUCGUGUCUCGUGUGUGUAAGAUGUGCCAAGUUGUUCAAC
rnacentral:lncRNA from 1 species